CGGCGGACGGGUGAGUAACGCGUGGGUAACCUGCCUCAUACAGGGGGAUAACAGUUGGAAACGGCUGCUAAUACCGCAUAAGCGCACAGUACCGCAUGGUACGGUGUGAAAAACUCCGGUGGUAUGAGAUGGACCCGCGUCUGAUUAGCCAGUUGGCGGGGUAACGGCCCACCAAAGCGACGAUCAGUAGCCGACCUGAGAGGGUGACCGGCCACAUUGGGACUGAGACACGGCCCAA
rnacentral:rRNA from 1 species